AUUUGUCAUGUUUGAUUUUUGUAUGAUGUCCCACUUUAGGUGGGAAUACCAUGCAUGGGAUAAUGCAUGUGAUGUAUGCAAUUACUGGGGAUAUUUGGCUGUGCAUGUAGGAAUGCGAAUGAUCUUUAUUUUGUAUAAGGUUAUGCAUAAGUAUGCUGAUGAUUGAUAUGACUGUGUUUUUUUUGAAUUUUCUACUUAGUAGGAAAACCAUUUAUGGAUGAUUCGUGUGAUCCAUGUGGGAAUGCAAUUGGGUAAUUG
rnacentral:lncRNA from 1 species